UGGCUCAGAUGGUAAAGAAUCUGCCUGUAAUGCAGGAGACCCGGGUUCAAUUCCUGG
rnacentral:tRNA from 1 species